rnacentral:rRNA from 1 species
GACGAACGCUGGCGGCGUGCUUAACACAUGCAAGUCGAACGGAAAGGCCCUGCUUUUGUGGGGUGCUCGAGUGGCGAACGGGUGAGUAACACGUGAGUAACCUUCCCUUGACUUUGGGAUAACUUCAGGAAACUGGGGCUAAUACCGGAUAGGAGCUCCUGCUGCAUGGUGGGGGUUGGAAAGUUUCGGCGGUUGGGGAUGGACUCGCGGCUUAUCAGCUUGUUGGUGGGGUAGUGGCUUACCAAGGCUUUGACGGGUAGCCGGCCUGAGAGGGUUACCGGCCACAUUGGGACUGAGAUACGGCCCAGACUCCUACGGGAGGCAGCAGUGGGGAAUAUUGCACAAUGGGCGGAAGCAUGAUGCAGCAACGCCGCGUGCGGGAUGACGGCCUUCGGGUUGUAAACCGCUUUCGCAUGUGAAGAAGAGUGAGUGACGGUAAUGGGUAAAGAAGCACCGGCUAACUACGUG